rnacentral:rRNA from 1 species
UAUUGGUCAAUGGCCGAGAGGCUGAACCAGCCAAGUCGCGUGAGGGAUGAAGGUUCUAUGGAUCGUAAACCUCUUUUAUAAGGGAAUAAAGUGCGGGACGUGUCCCGUUUUGUAUGUACCUUAUGAAUAAGGAUCGGCUAACUCCGUGCCAGCAGCCGCGGUAAUACGGAGGAUCCGAGCGUUAUCCGGAUUUAUUGGGUUUAAAGGGUGCGUAGGCGGCCUUUUAAGUCAGCGGUGAAAGUCUGUGGCUCAACCAUAGAAUUGCCGUUGAAACUGGGGGGCUUGAGUAUGUUUGAGGCAGGUGGAAUGCGUGGUGUAGCGGUGAAAUGCAUAGAUAUCACGCAGAACCCCGAUUGCGAAGGCAGCCUGCCAAGCCAUUACUGACGCUGAUGCACGAAAGCGUGGGGAUCAAACAGGAUUAGAUACCCUGGUAGUCCACGCAGUAAACGAUGAUCACUAGCUGUUUGCGAUACACUGUAAGCGGCACAGCGAAAGCGUUAAGUGAUCCACCUGGGGAGUACGCCGGCAACGGUGAAACUCAAAGGAAUUGACGGGGGCCCGCACAAGCGGAGGAACAUGUGGUUUAAUUCGAUGAUACGCGAGGAACCUUACCCGGGUUUGAACGCAUUCGGACCGAGGUGGAAACACCUUUUCUAGCAAUAGCCGUUUGCGAGGUGCUGCAUGGUUGUCGUCAGCUCGUGCCGUGAGGUGUCGGCUUAAGUGCCAUAACGAGCGCAACCCUUGCCACUAGUUACUAACAGGUAAAGCUGAGGACUCUGGUGGGACUGCCAGCGUAAGCUGCGAGGAAGGCGGGGAUGACGUCAAAUCAGCACGGCCCUUACAUCCGGGGCGACACACGUGUUACAAUGGCGUGGACAAAGGGAAGCCACCUGGUGACAGGGAGCGAAUCCCCAAACCACGUCUCAGUUCGGAUCGGAGUCUGCAACCCGACUCCGUGAAGCUGGAUUCGCUAGUAAUCGCGCAUCAGCC